rnacentral:rRNA from 1 species
UGAGGAAUAUUGGUCAAUGGGCGGGAGCCUGAACCAGCCAAGCCGCGUGAGGGAAGAAGGCCCUAUGGGUCGUAAACCUCUUUUGUCAGGGAACAAAAGCGAGUAUGUAUACUAGUCUGAGUGUACCUGAAGAAAAAGCAUCGGCUAACUCCGUGCCAGCAGUCGCGGUAAUACGGAGGAUGCGAGCGUUAUCCGGAUUUAUUGGGUUUAAAGGGUGCGUAGGCGGCGGUGCAAGUCAGCGGUAAAAGCCCGGGGCUCAACCCCGGCGAGCCGUUGAAACUGCAGUGCUAGAGAAGGCGAGAGGUACGCGGAAUGCGCAGUGUAGCGGUGAAAUGCUUAGAUAUUGCGCAGAACUCCGAUUGCGAAGGCUAGCGUACUGGCGCCUGACUGACGCUGAGGCACGAAAGCGUGGGGAUCGAACAGGAUUAGAUACC